AGGAGUGUCCCUAUGGCAAAGAGUACCACUGUGGCAGACCCUGGACCUGAACUCAUGCUGGGCAGGUGACCCUAGGGCCUAACAAUUACAAUUCCCCAAAUACCCACAAAAUAUCAAUUACCAAUAGUAGGCAGAUUA